rnacentral:rRNA from 1 species
UUGGUGGCUGAAAUGCAUGAAUGCCCCCUGCUGUACAACGUCUUCAGUGUGAUAAGUAUCUUCACUGAUUCAAGCUCCCCUGUGGGACACGCUUGUCUGGUGGGCUCUGUGCUUCUAACUGUCCGCAUGGACAAUUCUUGACAAUUUGACCUCAAAUCGGGUGGGACUACCCGCUGAACUUAAGCAUAUCAAUAAGCGGAGGAAAAGAAACUAACAAGGAUUCCCCUAGUAACGGCGAGUGAAGAGGGAAAAGCUCAAAUUUUGAAUCUGGUACCUUUGGUGCCCGAGUUGUAAUCUAGAGAAGUGUUUUCUGCCUCGGACCACACAUAAAUUCCCUGGAAUGGGGUGUCAUAGAGGGUGAGAAUCCCGUUUGUGGUGUGGACUACCUUGGCUUUGUGAUACACUCUCAACGAGUC